GACGAGCGCUGGCGGCGUGCCUAAUACAUGCAAGUCGAACGCUUCUUUUUCCACCGGAGCUUGCUCCAUCGGAAAAAGAGGAGUGGCGAACGGGUGAGUAACACGUGGGUAACCUGCCCAUCAGAAGGGGAUAACACUUGGAAACAGGUGCUAAUACCGUAUAACAAUCGAAACCGCAUGGUUUUGAUUUGAAAGGCGCUUUCGGGUGUCGCUGAUGGAUGGACCCGCGGUGCAUUAGCUAGUUGGUGAGGUAACGGCUAACCAAGGCGACGAUGCAUAGCCGACCUGAGAGGGUGAUCGGCCACAUUGGGACUGAGACACGGCCCAAACUCCUACGGGAGGCAGCAGUAGGGAAUCUUCGGCAAUGGACGAAAGUCUGACCGAGCAACGCCGCGUGAGUGAAGAAGGUUUUCGGAUCGUAAAACUCUGUUGUUAGAGAAGAACAAGGAUGAGAGUAACUGUUCAUCCCUUGACGGUAUCUAACCAGAAAGCCACGGCUAACUACGUGCCAGCAGCCGCCGUAA
rnacentral:rRNA from 1 species